rnacentral:rRNA from 1 species
AGAGUUUGAUCAUGGCUCAGAACGAACGUUGGCGGCGUGGAUUAGGCAUGCAAGUCGAACGAAGACGGGGUAGCAAUAUCCCGGACUGAGUGGCGAAAGGGGCAGUAAAGCGUGGGUAACCUACCUCUGGGACGGGGAUAGCCUCUCUAACGGGAGGGUAAUACCCGGCGACGUAGUUGGGGGGCAUCUCUUGACUACCAAAUGAAUUUCGCCCGGAGAGGGGCUCACGUGCUAUUAGCUUGUUGGCGGGGUGACGGCCCACCAAGGCAAAGAUGGCUAGCAGGUGUGAGAGCACGACCUGCGCCACUGGCACUGAGACACUGGCCAGACUCCUACGGGAGGCUGCAGUCGAGGAUCUUCGGCAAUGGGCGCAAGCCUGACCGAGCGACGCCGCGUGCGCGAUGAAGGCCUUCGGGUUGUAAAGCGCUGUCGAGGGGGAGGAAGCCGCAAGGUUGACCUAUCCCUGGAGGAAGGACGGGCUAAGUUCGUGCCAGCAGCCGCGGUAAGACGAACCGUCCUAACGUUGUUCGGAAUCACUGGGCUUAAAGGGCGCGUAGGCGGAUCGCCAAGUCCGGGGUGAAAUCUUUCGGCUCAACCGGAAAAUAGCCUUGGAUACUGGCGGUCUCGAGCGAGGUAGGGGCGGGUGGAACUUCCGGUGGAGCGGUGAAAUGCGUUGAUAUCGGAAGGAACGCCGGUGGCGAAAGCGACCCGCUGGACCUCUUCUGACGCUGAGGCGCGAAAGCCAGGGGAGCAAACGGGAUUAGAUACCCCAGUAGUCC